ensembl:ncRNA F39B3.4 ncRNA
GAGAAGACACGGAGAACAAGGACUGAAACAAUUUCUUUUUUAGGAGAGCAAGUGUGUAGACGUAUCAUGUUUCGGCGGAGUCCGCGACAUGAACAGUCCGUUUCCACCCCUACACGUAUUUGAUGAGUGCAUAAGGAAGA